GACGAAGGUGGCAAGCGUUAUUCGGAUUUACUGGGCAUAAAGCGCGCGUAGGCGGCUUGGCAAGUCGGAGGUGAAAGCCCGCAGCUCAACUGCGGAACUGCCUUCGAUACUGCCGGGCUUGAGGGCGGGAGGGGUGAUUGGAACUCCAGGUGUAGCGGUGAAAUGCGUAGAUAUCUGGAGGAACACCGGAGGCGAAGGCGAAUCACUGGACCGCAUCUGACGCUGAGGCGCGAAAGCUAGGGGAGCAAACAGG
rnacentral:rRNA from 1 species